rnacentral:misc_RNA from 1 species
AACAUCGCGCACCUGCGGGAACCUGCGGAAGGAUCAUUAUCGAGUGUAAUCUACCCCUUUAAAAAAGGGUAGUACCUCCCGUCCUUUGCAGGCCUCUUUUUUUAUUAGGGGGGGCUUUUUAAGACUUUCUGCUUCGGCGGGGUUACUCCCGCCGGAACACCCUCAAAAAAUUCUCGAAAAAAAUCGUUCAGUCCGAGAACUUUUUAAAAAUAAAAUAAAACUUUCAACAAUGGAUCUCAG